rnacentral:rRNA from 1 species
UCAGUCGACUCCUACGGGGAGGCAGCAGUGGGGAAUAUUGCACAAUGGGCGCAAGCCUGAUGCAGCCAUGCCGCGUGUAUGAAGAAGGACCUUCGGGUUGUAAAGUACUUUCAGCAGUGAGGAAGGCAGGUACGUUAAUAGCGUGCUUGUUUGACGUUAGCUGCAGAAGAAAGCACCGGCUAACUCCGUGCCAGCAGCCGCGGUAAUACGGAGGGUGCGAGCGUUAAUCGGAAUUACUGGGCGUAAAGCGCAUGCAGGUGGUUCGUUAAGUCAGAUGUGAAAGCCCGGGGCUCAACCUCGGAAUUGCAUUUGAAACUGGCGGACUAGAGUACUGUAGAGGGGGGUAGGAAUUUCAGGUGUAGCGGUGAAAUGCGUAGAGAUCUGAAGGAAUACCGGUGGCGAAGGCGGCCCCCUGGACAGAUACUGACACUCAGAUGCGAAAGCGUGGGGAGCAAACAGGAUUAGAUACCCUGGUAG